CUCAAAAUAUAUCUUUACCAUCAUCAUCUGCAUGUGUGGUAACAAUCCCAAAAACUCUAAUUGGUGUUUUGACAGAAUUAUGCCCCUUGGAGUAUCUUCCUUUUAAAGUAGAGGUCUCUUAAGGAGACAUACGUUCAUUUUACUGUCAAAUCAUCGAAUAGUGGAGCGCGCUGUCUUAGGACAGCUCUUGUUUCUUUCUUCCAUUCAAGUUUCUUUGUACUUUUUGUGAACCGCUUUGUUUUGAGGGUGUUCAUUCUCGUUUGAUUGAUUCUAUUUGCCACGAUAAAACUGGCGUUUGGAAGUUGCCAGAUGUGACAUAUCUGUAAUCAUUAAUGCUGGUUUUGUUUGUUUAUAAUUUUAGCUCACCUGAGCACGAAGUGCUUAAGAUGAGCUAUUGUGACAUGUCAUUGUCCGGCGUUGUCCGUGCGUCAACAUUUGCCUUGUUAACAUUCUAGAGGUCACAGUUUUGACCCAAUCUUUAUGAAACUUUGUCAGAAUGUUUGUUUUGAUGAUCCCUAGGUCAAGUUUGAAACUGGGUCAUGUGGGGUCAAAAACAAAGUCAGUAGGCCAGAUCAAAGGAAAAUCUUGUUAACACUCUAGGGGCCACAGUUUGAAACUCAUGAAUUGGUCUUGAUGACCUCUAUGUUGAAAUCUUUUUUUUAUGAGGUAAAAACUAGGUCACCCGGUCAAAAGGAAAAGCUUGUUAACACUCUACAGGCCACAUUUAUGUCAUAUCUUCAUGAAUCUUUGUCAGAAUGUUUAUCUUGAUGAUAUUAGGCCAAGUUUGAAACUGGAUCAUGUAGAAUUAAAAACUAGGUCAGAAGGCCAGAUCAGAGGAAAAUCUUGUUAACAUCUAGGGUCCACAGUUUAAGUUUUAAACUUUUGAAGAUCUCUAGAUCUAGUUCGAAUCUCGGUCAUGUGGGAUCAGAAACUAGGCCACCCGUCAAAUCAAAGGAAAAGCUUGUUAACACUCUACAGGCCACAUUUAUGAUCCAGUCUUCAUGAAUCUUGGUCAGAUUGUUUAUCCUGAUGAUCUUUAGGCCAAGUUCGAAACUGGGUUACGUGGGAUUAAAGGGUCACUAGGCUAGAUCAAAGGAAAAGUUUGUUUACAUUCUAGAGACCACAUUUAAAAUUUGUAACUCAUUAGAAUUGAUCAGAAUGUUUGUAAUGAUGACCUCUAGAUCAAAUUAGAAUCUGGGUCAUGUGGGGUCAAAACUAGGUCACCGGAUCAAAAAUCAAAGAAAAACCUUGUGUAUGCAAUAGAGGCUGUAUUUUACACUGGAUGUUUAUGAAAUUUGAUCAGAAUGUUUGUCUUGAUGAAAUCUAGUUUAAGUUUGAAUCUGGGGUCAAAAGCUAGGUGACCCGGUCAAUUGUGUAUGCAAUAGAGGCUCCUUUUUUCACUGGAUCUUCAUGAAAUAUGACCAGGAUGUUUGUCUUGAUGAAAUUAGGUCAAGAUCAAAUAUGGAUCAUCUGGGGUCAAAAACUAGGUUACCCGGUCAAAUCAAAGAAAAGCCUUGUGUAUGCAAUAGGGGCUCCAUUUUUUCACUGGAUCUUCAUGAAAUUUGAUCAGAAUGUUUGCCUUGAUGAAAGCUAGGUCAAGUUCGAAUAUGGGUCAUCCGGGGUCAAAAACUAGAUCACCUGGUCGAGUCAAAGAAAGCCUUUUGUAUGCAAAAGGGGCUGCAUAUUUCACUGAAUACGCGUGGAAUUUGAUCAGAAUAUUUGUAUUGAUGAAAUCUAGGUGAAGUUCGAAUAUGGGUGCAAUAAGGGCUGCAUUUUUCACAGGAUUUUUGUGAAAUUUGGUCAGUAUGAUCUUGUUGAUGAAUAUGUUUGAAUAUGGGUCGUCAGUGGUCAAAAGCUAGGUACUUGGUCAAAUCAAAGAAAAACAUUGUGUUUGCAAUAGGGGCUGCAUUUUGUCACUGGAUAUUCGUUGAAUUUGAACAAAUUGUUUGUCUUGAUAAAAUCUAGGUAAAGCUUGAAUAUAGGUCAUCUUGGGUCAUAGACUAGGUCACUCUGUCAAAUCAAAUCAAAGCUUGGUGUGUGUAAUAGGGGCUGCAUUUUUAUCUGAUGUGCAUGAAACUUGGUCAGAAUGUUUGUCUCCAUGAAAUCUUGGAUGAGGUCUCCUCUGGGUCACAUGGGGUCAGAAACUAGGGUCACCAGGUCAAAUCAAAGAAAAGGCUUGUUUACACUCUAGGGCCGCAUUUUUUAUUCAAUCGUCGUAAAACUUGGUCAGAAUGUUUACCAAGAAGAGAUGAUUACCAAUCUGGGUCACAUGGGGUCAAAAACUAGGUCACUAGGUCAAAUCAAAGGAAAAGCUUGUUUACACUUUAGAGGCCAUUUUUGCUCCAAUCUUCAAGAAUCUUUGUCAGAAUGUUAGUCUCCAUGGGGUAAAAACUAGGUCACUAGGUCAAAUCAAAGGAAAUGCUUGUUUACACUCAAGAUGCCACAUUUUUGGUCCGAUCUUAUUGAAAAUUGGUCAGAAUAUUUGUCUCCAUAUAAUCUCACAUGGAUUAAAAAUUCGGUCAAGUUGAGGCAAAAACUAGGUCACUAGGCCAAAUAAAGAAAAAUCUUGUUUACACUCUAGAGGCCACAAUUUUUCUCCAAUCUUCAUGAAACUUCGUCAGAAUGUUCAUCUUGAUAGCUAGGAGUUUGUAACUGGGUCAUAUGGUGUCAAAAACUGGGUCACUAGGUCAAACAUGUUUACAUUGUUAUGAUGUGUUACUCAGGUGAGUGACCUAGGGCCAUCUUGGCCCUUUUGUUUUAUUGGCCGGGUUUUCGAAGAAAAAUCCGGAUUGUAAAUUAGGUCAGUCUGGGCGGGUGGAUAGAUGGACUGAUGGAUGGAAUAAUGAGUCUCGUGUUAACCUUUUUGUUCAUUCAAAAUCUGGGCAAGUAUUUCACCUAGAACCUUGAAACUUCAUAGGUAUGUUCUUGAUGUGUACAUGACCCCCCUACUGAUUUCAGGGUCACUGGGUCAAAGUGACCUGAACAUUUGAAAAUGGUUUAUGCACGAUAUCUGGACAAGUAUUUCACCUGGGACUUUGAAACUUCAUAGGUAUGUUGGUCUUGAUUUGUACAUGACCACUGCUGAUUUCGGGGUCACUGGGUUAAAGGGCAAGGUCACAAGGACCUGAACUCUCACCUUGGACCUUGAAACUUAUACUUUUGAUGUGUACAUGACCCCCUAUAGAUUUUGGGGUCACUGGGUCAAAGGCCAAGGUCACAGGGACCUGAACAUUGAAAAUGGUUUCCGCUCAAUAAUUGGACAAGUAUUUCACAUAGGACCUUGAAACUUCAUAGGUAUGUUGUUUUUGAUGUGUACCUGACCCCUAUUGAUUUCAGAAUCAAAGGUCAAGGUUACAGGGAUAUAAACAUUGAAAAUGUUUGGGUUUUUUUACUUUUAUUAGCGUCCGCAUCCCGAUUUGGUUAAGUUUUUGUAUGUAAGCUGAUAUCUCAGUAACCACAUGUGGGAAUGGAUUGAAACAUCACACGCUUAUUCACUGUGAUAAAAUGACUUACAUUGCACACAUAACUCUAGUUUGCUUUCUUACAAACUUAUGCCCCUUUUUCGACUUAGAAAUAUUUGGUUAAGGUUUUGUAUGUAAGCUGGUAUCUCAGUACUCACUAAUGGGAAUGGAUUGAAACUUCACACACUUGUUCACUGUCAUGAUCUGACAUGUACUGUGCAGGUCCCAUAACUCUACUUUGCAUUUUUUCAACAGCAUUAUGCCCCUUUUUCGACUAAGCAGUUUUUGGUUAAGCUUUUGUAUGUAAGCUGGUAUCUCAGUAUCCACUAAUUGGAAAGGAUUGAAACUUCACACACUUGUUCACUGUCAUGAUAUAACAUGCAGUGCAAAUGUUCAAUAACUCUACUUUGCAUUUUUACAACAUUAUGCACUUUUAUCAACUCAGCAGUUUUUGGUUAAAUUCUUAUAUGUAAGCUUGUAUCUCAGUACCCACUAUAAUGGAAAUGGAUUGAAACUUCACACACUUGUCUACUGUCAUGAGUUGAUAAGCACUGUGCAGGUUCCAUAACAUUGUUUUGCAUUUUUACAAAAUUAUGCCCCUUUUUAUACGCCCGAAGGGACGUAUUAUGUUAUGGUCCCGGUGUCCAUCUGUCCGUCCGUCCGUUAGCAAUUUCGUGUCCGCUCUGUAACUCAUGAACCCCUAGAAGGAUUUCAAAGAAACUUGACACAAAUGUUCACUACACUAAGACGACGUGCAGAGCGCAUGUUUUGGAUGUGUCAUUUCAAGGUCAAGGUCACACUUAGGGGUCAAAGGUCAUAUGAGUGUGUUUCGUGUCCGCUCUGUAACUCUUGAACUGCUUGAAUGAUUUCAAAGAAACUUGGCACAAAUGUUCACCACACUGAGACGACGUGCAAAGCGCUUGUUUCGGAUGACUAGCUUCAAGGUCAAGGUCACACGUAGGAGUGAAAGGUCAUAUAAGUGUGUUUCGUGUCCGCUCUGCAACUCUUGAACUGCUCGAAUGAAUUCAAAGAAACUUGGCACAAAUGUUCACCACACUGAGGCGACAUGCAGAGCGCAUGUAUUUGAUGACUCGCUUCAAGGUCAAGGUCACACUCAGGGGUCAAAUGUCAUAUAUGACUUUGCUUUGUGUAUAUUGCUCUGCAUUGCAGUGCUCUUGUUUUUAUUUUGCAGAUCCUUUUUUGUUCUCUUACAAUAAUUUUUAUACGCCCGAAGGGACGUAUUAUGUUAUGAUGCCGGUGUCCGUCUGUCCGUACGUCCGUUAGCAAUUUCGUUUCCACUCUGUAACUCUUUAUCCCCUUGAAGUAUUUCAAAGAAACUUGACACAAAUGUUCAUCACACGGAGACGACGUGCAGAGCGCUUGUUUCGGAUGACUAGCUUCAAGGUCAAGGUCACACUUAGGGGUCAAAGGUCAUAUGAGUAUGUUUCGUGUCCGCCCUGUAACUCUUGAACUGCUUGAAGGAUUUCAAAGAAACUUGGCACAAAUGUUUACCACACUGAGACGACGUGCAGAGCGCUUGUUUCGGAUGACUAGCUUCAAGGUCAAGGUCACACUUAGGAGUGAAAGGUCAUAUAUGACUUUGCUGUGUCCGCUCUGUAACUCUUGAACUGCUUGAAGGAUUUCAAAGAAACUUGGCACAAAUGUUCACCACACUGAGGUGACCUGCAGAGCGCAUAUUUUGGAUGACUCGCUUCAAGGUCAAGGUCACACUUAGGGGUCAAAGGUCAUAUAUGAUUUUGCUUUGUGUAUAUUGCUCUGCAUUGCAGUGCUCUUGUUUUUAUUUGACAGAUCCCUUUUUUGUUCUCUUACAAUAUUUUUUUUGUAUUACUUCCCUUUUUAUUACUAUAAAUAGCUUAUUUUGAAACUUUUUUAUUAUUGGCCGUAGGGAAAAACCGAGACCACUUUUCUGUGGUACAACAUGGAUGGUACAUCCAAUUUUUAGAUGUAUUUUGACAUAACUUUACCUGGUAAGAAUUUUUUUGUGGACUUAGAUUUUUUUUUGGAAUUUCUUCUUUUUGUUGUUCCUGUCCUUUGGGCUUCAACAGUCAAGUUCUUUAAAUUUUGCUACCAUCCUCUGGUGUAACCCUUCGGGCGUAUAUUGCCCCGCUUGGCGGCGCUCUUGUUGUUUUUGAAUUACUUCCCUUUUUUGUUACUAUAAAUAGCUUAUUUUGAAACUUUUUUAUUAUUGGCCGUAGGGAAAAACCGAGAUCACUUUUCUGUGGUACAACAUGGAUGGUACAUCCAAUUUUUAAAUGUAUUAUGACAUAACUUUACCUGGUAAGAAUUUUUUUGUGGACUUAGAAUUUGUUGGGUUUUUUUUUGGAAUUUCUUUUUUGAGCGUCCUUUGAGCUUCAACAGUCAAGUUCUUUAAAUUUUGCUCCCAUCCUCUGAUGUAACCCUUCGGGCGUAUAUUGCCCCGCUUGGCGGCGCUCUUGUUCGAUUUUGUAUUCAUUCAAUUGACAAGGCUGUUGAAUAGUCGAGCGUUGCUGUCCUCAGACAGCUCUUGUUUUUUUACACCAAUUUAUUUCUUUAAUUUCAUUUUCUACUUGUCCAUUUCUUUUUCCCUUUUUUCUUCAAUAUACUGCUUAUUAGUCCCCUGCUUUUUGGAAACCAGUUUCGGGGACUAUAGGAAUGCGCUUUUCCGUCAUUCUGUCAUUCCGUCCGUCCGCAAUUUCGUGUCCGGUCCAUAACUCUUUUAUCCAUGAAGGGAUUUUAAUAUUACUUGGCACAAUUGUUCCCCAUGAUGAGACGACGUGUCAUGCGCUAAACCCGGACCCCUAGCUUAAAGGUCAAGGUCACAAUUGGAGGUCAAAUGUCAACAGGGCUUUUUUCCUGUCCGGUCCAUAACUCUCCCAUCCAUGAAGGGAUUUUAAUAUUACUUGGCACAAUUGUACCUCAUAAUAAGACGAUGUGUCAUGCACAACUUUCAGACCCCUAGCUCAAAGGUCAAGGUCACAUUUAGCAGUCAAAUGUUAACAUGACAUGAACAGGCUCUGUUUCGUGUCCGGUCCAUAACUCUUUCAUCCAUGAAGGGAUUUUAAUAUUACUUGGCACAAAUGUUCCCCAUGAUGAGACGACAUGUCAUGCGCAAAACCCACGCCCCUAGCUCAAAGGUCAAGGUCACAAUUGGAGGUCAAAUGUCAACAGGGCUUUUUUCCUGUCCAGUCCAUAACUCUCCCAUUCAUGAAGGGAUUUUAAUAUCAAUUGCACAAUUGUACCUCAUAAUAAGACGAUGUGUCCUGUACAACUUUCAGACCCCUAACUCAAAGGUCAAGGUCACACUUAGCAGUCAAAUGUUAACAUGGCAUGAACAGGAUCUGUUUCCUGUCCGCUCUAUAACUCUGUCAUUCAUUAAGGGAUUUCAAUAUUACUUGGGACAGGUGUUCCCCAUGAUGAGGCGACAUGUCUUGCGCAAAUCCCGGAGCCGUUGCUCAAAGGUCAAGGUCACCAUUGGGGGUCAAAGGUCAAUAAGGCUUUUUUCCUGUCCGGUCCAUAACUCUGCCAUCCAUGAAGGGAUUUUAAUAUUACUUGGCACAAAUGUUCCCCAUUAUGUGACAACAUGUCUUGCGCAAAACCCGGACCCCUAGCUCAGAGGUCAAGGUCACAAUUGGAGGCCAAAGGUCAAUAGGGUUUUUUUUCCUGUCCGGUCCAGAACUCUGUCAUCCAUCAAGGGAUUAUAAUAUUACUUGGCAUAAAUGUUCCCCAUGAUGAGACAACGUGUCGUGCGCAACAACCAGAACCCUAGCUUAAAGGUCAAGGUCACACUUUGAGAUCAAACGUCAAUAGGAUUUUUUUCCUGUCCGGUCUAUAACUUUGUCAUGCAAAACAGGAUUUAAAUAUCAGUUGGCACAAACAUUCCCCAGGAUGAGACAACAUGUUGUGCGCAAAGCCCCGGCCCUAGGUCUAAGGUCAAGGUCAUACUUAGAGGUCAAAGGUCAAAUUCAAGAAUGACUGUCUGGAGCAUUUCUUCUUUAUGCAUGGAGGGAUUUUAAUGUAACUUGGCACAAAUGUUCACCACCAUGAGACGAAUUGUCAUGCGCCUGAACCAGGUCCCUAGGUCAAGGUCAUACUUAGAGGUCAGAUUCAAGAAUGACUUUGUCCGGAGCAUUUCUUCUUCAUGCAUGGAGGGAUUUUAUGUAACUUGGCACAAAUGUUCACCACCAUGAGGCACACUCUUUUUAGAAUUACGUCCCUUUGUUGUUACUAUAAAUAGAUUAUAUUGUAACUUUUUUAUUAUUGGCCGUAGGGAAAAAUCGAGACCACUUUUCUGUGGUACAACAUGCAUGUACAUCCAAUUUUUAGGUGCAUUUUGUUCUAUCUCUACCUGGUAAAGAGUUUCAUGUGGACUUAUAUAGAUUUUUUAGGGUUAAUUUCACUUUGUUGUUACUAGAAAUAACUUCUAUGAUAACUUUUUGUAUAAUCGGCCAAAAAAAAAUCCAAAUGAAAACAACUGUACGUUUUUAUAUACUGUAAAAGCACAUAUUUUCGCUGGGUCAAAAUUUCACGAAUUUGAAAUUUUGAGUAUUUUGCGAGGUUUAAUAUUCGCGAAAUUGUAAAAAUUGGUAUCAUACUUGAAUUAAAAUUAUGCUGAUGGUGAAUAUUAACGCGAGGAUUAAUUUUCGCGAGAUGUAGGGCCUCGCAAAUAUAGCGAAAAUUAAACCCUCGCGAAAAUUUCUGCUUUUACCGUAUGCAAAUUUUAAUCCAAGUGCUUUGUUACAUUAUAUUUUAUAUAUAGUACAAUACUUUUAUACAUCAUUGACAGAUAUCAGUUCAUUAUGUUAUACUGCAGUAGAGAAAAUUAGGUGCCUUCCAGUAGGGGACUUUGUAUUGCAUGGCAAUACUUCAUUCACUUGUUAAUUUGGGGGUUAUUUAUUUAUGACAUUAUUAGAACUUUAACUCUUUAUCACCUAUUUCGGAAAACCCGGCCAAAAUGCCGUCACGUUAGCUGCUUGUUCAUCACGUGCUUGAUUUAGUACUUUAUUAGUCCCCUACUGGUUGAAAACCAGUUUCGGGGACUAUAGGAAUGCGCUUUUCCGUCCGUCCGCAAUUUCGUGUCCGGUCCUUAACUCUGUCAUCCAUGAAGGGAUUUUAAUAUUACUUGGCACAAAUGUUCCCCAUGAUGAGACGACGUGUCAUGCGCAAAACCGGGACCCCUAGCAUAAAGGUCAAGGUCACAAUUUGAGGUCAAAGGUCAACAGUGUUUUUAGCUCACCAGAGCCAAAGGCUCAGGGUGAGCUAUUAGGAUCACUCACCGUCCGGCGUCCGUCGUCCGUAGUCCGUCGGUAAACUUUUACUUUAAACGACAUCUCCUCAUAAACCGCUAGGCCAAUUUCAUCCAAACUUCACAGGAAUGUUCCUUGGGUGAAGCUCUACAAAAAUUGUUCAAAGAAUUGAAUUCCAUGCAGAACUCUAAAAAUCUUCUUCUCAAAAACCAGAAGCCCUAGAGCUUAGAUAUUUGGUGUGAAGCAUUGCCUACUGGACCUCUACCAAGUUUGUUCAGAUCAUGACCCCGGGAUCAAAAUUGACCCCGCCCCAGGGGUCACUUGAUUUUACAUAGGAAAAUCUUAAAAAAUCUUCUUCUCAAAAACCAGAAGCCAUAGAGCUUAGAUAUUUGACAUGUAGCAUUGCCUAGUGGACCUCUACAAAAGUUUAUCAAAUCAUGACCCCGGGGUCAAAAUUGACCCCGCCCCAGGGGUCACUUGAUUUUACAUAGAUUUCUAUAGGAAAGUCUUCAAACAUUUUUAAAAAAUAAACCAGAAGGCCUAGAGCUUAGAUAUUUCACAUGUAGCAUUGCCCAGUGGACCUCUACAAAAUUUGUUCAAAUCAUGACCCCCGGGUUCAAAAUUGACCCCGCCCCAGGGGUCACUUGAUUUUACAUAGGAAAAUCUUCAAAACAUUUCUAAAAAUAAACCAGAAGGCCUAGAUCUUAGAUAUUCCACAUGUAGCAUUGCCUAGUGGACCUCUACAAAAUUUGUUCAAAUCAUGACCCCCGGGGUCAAAUUGACCCCGCCCUAUGGGGUUACUUGAUUGUACAUUGAAAAAUCUUCAAAAUUUUCUAAAAAUAAACCAGAAGGCCUAGAGCUUAGAUAUUUGACAUGUAGCAUUGCCUAGAGGACCUCUACAAAAUUUGUUCAAAUCUUCACCCCCAGAGACAAAUUGACCCAGCCCCGGGGGUUACUUGAUUGUACAUAGGGAAAUCUUCAUAAAUUUGCUAAAAAUAAACCAGAAGGCCUAGGUCUUAGAUAUUAGAUAUGUAACGUUGCCUAGUAGACUUCUACAAACUUUGUUCAAAUCAUGACCCCCCCCCCCCACACACACACACACGGGGGUAAAAUUGGCCCCGCCCCAGGGGUCACUUGAUUUUACAUAGGAAAAUCUUAAAAAAUCUUCUAAAAAUAAACCAGAAGGCCUAGAGCUUAGAUAUUUGACAUGUAGCAUUGCCUAGUGGACCUCUACAAAAAAAAUAUCAAAUCAUGACCCCCGGGGUCAAAAUUGACCCUGCCCCAGGGGUCACUUGAUUUUACAUAGGAAAAUCUUCCAAAUUUUUCUCAAAAUAAACCAGAAGGCUUAAAUCUUAGAUAUUUCACAUGUAGCAUUGCCCAGUGGACCUCUACAAAAUUUGUUCAAAUCAUGACCCCGGGUUCAAAAUUGACCCCGCCCCAGGGGUCACUUGAUUUUACAUAGGAAAAUCUUCAAAACAUUUCUAAAAAUAAACCAGAAGGCCUAGAUCUUAGAUAUUCCACAUGUAGCAUUGCCUAGUGGACCUCUACAAAAUUUGUUCAAAUCAUGACCCCCGGGGUCAAAUUGACCCCGCCCUAUGGGGUUACUUGAUUGUACAUUGAAAAAUCUUCAAACUUUUCUAAAAAUAAACCAGAAGGCCUAGAGCUUAGAUAUUUGACAUGUAGCAUUGCCUAGAGGACCUCUACAAAAUUUGUUCAAAUCUUCACCCCCCAGAGUCAAAUUGACCCAGCCCCGGGGGUUACUUGAUUGUACAUAGGGAAAUCUUCAUAAAUUUGCUAAAAAUAAACCAGAAGGCCUAGGUCUUAGAUAUUAGAUAUGUAACGUUGCCUAGUAGACUUCUACAAACUUUGUUCAAAUCAUGACCCCCCCCCCCCCCACACACACGGGGGUAAAAUUGGCCCCGCCCCAGGGGUCACUUGCUUUUACAUAGGAAAAUCUUCAAAAAGUUUCUAAAAAUAAACCAGAAGGCCUAGAGCUUAGAUAUUUGACAUGUAGCAUUGCCUAGUGGACCUCUACAAAAAAAAUUUCAAAUCAUGACCCCCGGGGUCAAAAUUGACCCUGCCCCAGGGGUCACUUGAUUUUACAUAGGAAAAUCUUCAAAAUUUUUCUAAAAAUAAACCAGAAGGCCUAGAUCUUAGAUAUUUGACAUGUAGCAUUGCCUAGUAGACUUCUACAAAAUUUAUUCAAAUCAUGACCCCCGGGGUCAUAUUGACCCCGCCCCAUGGGGUUACUUGAUUGUACAUAGAAAAAUCUUCAAAAUUUCCUAAAAAUAAACCAGAAGGCCUAGAGCUUAGAUAUUUGACAUGUAGCCUUGCCUAGUGGACCUCUACAAAAUUUGUUCAAACUUGAUCCCCAAGGGGUCGAAUUGACCCAGCCCCAGGGGUUACUUGAUUGUACAUAGGGAAAACUUCAAAAAUCUGCUAAAAAUAAACCAGGAGGCCUAGAUCUUAGAUAUUUGAUAUGUAACAUUUCCUAGUAGACUUCUAUAAACUGUGUUCAAAUCAUGACCCCUGGGUUAAAAUUGGUCCCGCCCCAGGGGUUACUUGAUUGUACAUCGGAAAAUCUUCCAAAAAAUUUCUAAAAAUCAUCAGUUUGACAUUUGAAACAUGUAGCUCAUAUUUCUCAGGUGAGCGAUCCAGGGUCAUCAUGACCCUCUUGUUUUCCUGUCCGGUCCAUAACUCUGCUAUCCAUGAAGGGAUUUUAAUAUUACUUGGCACAGAUGUACCUCAUAAUAAGACGAUGUGUCAUGCACAACUUUCAGACCCCUAGCUCAAAGGUCAAGGUCACCAUUGGCAGUCAAAUGUUAACAUGGCAUGAACAGGAUCUGUUUCGUGUCCGAGCCAUAACUCUGCCAUCCAUGAAAAUAUUUUAAUAUUACUUGGUACAAAUGUUCCCCAUGAUGAGACGACAUGUCAUGCGCAAAAUCCGGACUCCUAGCUUAAAGGUCAAGGUCACAAUUUGAGGUCAAAUGUCAACAGGGUUUUUUUUUUUCCUGUCCGGUCCAUAACUCUGCCAUCCAUGAAGGGAUUUAAUAUUACUUGGCACAAAUGUACCUCAUAAUAACACGAUGUGUCAUACACAACUUUCAGGCCCCUGGCUCAAAGGUCAAGGUCACACUUGGCAGUCAAAUAUUAACAUGGCAUGAACAGGGUCUGUUUUGUGUCCGGUCCAUAACUCUGCCAUCCAUGAAGAUAUUUUAAUAUUACAUGGUACAAAUGUUCCCCAUGAUGAGACGACGUGUCAUGCGCAAAGCCCGGACCCGUAGCUCAAAGGUCAAGGUCACAAUAGGAGGUCAAAGGUCAAAAGGGUUUUUCUCCUGUCCUGUCCAGAACUCUGUCAUCUAUCAAGGGACUUUAAUAUUACUUGGCAUAUAUGUUCCCCAUGAUGAGACAACAUGUCAUGCGCAACACCUAGAACCUUAGCUUAAAGGUCAAGGUCUCACAUGGAGAUCAAAGUUCAAUGGGACAUUUUUCCUGUCUGGUGUAUAUUUUUGUCAUGCAAAACAGGAUUUGAAUAUUACUUGGCACAAAUAUUCACCACUAUGAGACGGAGUGUCAUGCGCAAGAACCUGGUACCUAGGUCUAGGGUCAAGGCCACACAUAGACGCCAAAUGUCAGAUACAAGAAUGACUGUCUGGAACACGUCUUCAUGCAUGGAGGGAUUUUGAUGUAACUUGGCAUAAAUGUUCAUUACAAUGAAACGGAUUGUUGUGCGCAAGAACGAGGUCCCUAGGUCUAAGGUCAAGGUCACACUUAGAGGUCAAAUGCCAAAUUCAAGAAUGACUUUGUCCGGAGCAUUUCUUCAUUAUGCAUGGAGGGAUUUUGAUGUAACUUGGCACAAAUGUUCACCACCAUGAGGCACUCUUGUUUGUUAGAAUUAUGUCCCUUUGUUUUACUAUAAAUAGCUUAUAUUGUAACUUUCUUAUUACAGGCCAUAGGGCAAAAUCGAGACCAGUUUUCUGUGGUACAACAUGCAUGUUACAUCCGAUUUUUAGGUGUGUUUUGACCUAUCUUUACCUGGUAAAGAGUUUUUUGUGGACUUACAUUGAUUUUUUUUUACUAUAAAUAACUGAUAUGAUACCUUUUUUAUAAUUGGCCAAAAAAUGCUAUAUGAAAACAACUAUAGGGUUUUAUGUAUACAAAUUUUAAUCCAAGUGUUUUGUUUAUAACAUAUUGUAUAUAUAGUACAAUAUUGUUUAUACAUUAUUGACAGAUAUCAGUUCAUUAUGUUAUACUGCAGUAGAGAAAAUAAUGUUUCUUCCAGUAGGGGAAUUUGUAUUGCAUGGCAAUACUUCAUUCACUUGUUUAAUCUAAAAUUGUUUUCUAUGUUUUUAUCUUGAUGAAAACUGUUCAGCAACUGGUUAUAAGAAACGUGAUGAUUCAGAUUUCAUAUUAAUAUUUUUAUUUAAUAAACUACAUCGAGGGGUGAAUGCGAAAGAGUUUUAAGUGCAUAUAGAUAAAGAAGCACUUAGAACUUUUUCGCAUUCACCCCUCGACAUGUACAUCCAAUAAAGGGAUGCAAAACUCAUUAACCAACUAUUUAAUUGACAGAUAUGAACUUUGAAAAAAAAGAAAGAUCUGUUAUUCUUGCAUAAAAACUCUUUUUUUUUCACUGGAUCAGCCCAUGUAUUAACGGGAGAAAAAUCGUGUGCAAACAAGGCAAUUCGCGUGCUGUUAAUGUAGGGAUAAUACACGUUUUCAGCUCGACUAUUCGAAGAAUAGGGGAGCUAUCCUACUCGCCCCGGCGUCGGCGUUAGCGUGAGCGUCACACAAAUGUUAAAGUUUGCGUGCCACCCCAAAUAUUUUCAAAGUCCAUUGAGAUAUUGCUUUCAUAUUUUGCAUACUUGUUUACCAUCAUGACCCCAGUCUGUAAACAGGAGCAGACAACUCUAUCAAGCAUUUUGACUGAAUUAUGGUCCCUUUUCGACUUAGAAUAAAUGUUAAAGUUUGCGUACCACCCCAAAUAUUUUCAAAGUCCAUUGAGAUAUUGCUUUGAUAUUAUGCAUACAUGUUUACCACCAUGACCCCAGUCUGUAAAAAGGAGGAGGCAACUCUAUCAAGCAUUUUGACUGCAUUAUGGCCCCUUUUUGACUUAGAAUAAAUGUUAAAGUUUGCGUACCACCCCAAAUAUUUUCAAAUUCCAUUGAGAUAUUGCUUUCAUAUUUUGCAUACUUGUUUACCAUCAUGACCCCAGUCUGUAAAAAGGAGGAGGCAACUCUAUCAAGCAUUUUGACUGAAUUAUGGCCCCUUUUCGACUUAAAAUAAAUGUUCAAGUUUGCGUACCACCCCAAAUAUUUUCAAAGUCCACUGAGAUAUUGCUUUCAUAUUUUGCAUACUUGUUUACCAUCAUGACCCCAGUCUGUAAAAAGGAUAGGGCAACUCUAUCAAGCAUUUUGACUGAAUUAUGGCCCCUUUUCGACUUAGAAUAUGCUUAUUGUAAUGUUAAAGUUUUACUCAUUGCUUAUAUUAUACUAUCAAGCACUGAGAAUAGUGGAGCGUGCUGUCCACUGACAGCUCUUGUUUAGCUCACCUGAGCACGAAGUGCUCAAAGGUGAGCUUUUGUGAUCGCCCUGUGUCCGUCGUCCGUCGUCGUCAACAAUUUGACUGUUAACACUCUAGAGGUCACAAUUUUGGCCCAAUUUUAAUGAAAUAUUGGGUCAUCUGGGGUUAAAAACUAGGUCACCAGGUCAAAUCAAAGGAAAAGCUUGAUAACACUCUAGAGGUCACAAUUUUGGCCCAAUCUUAAUGAAACCUGGACAGAAUGUUACCCUCAAUAAAAUCUUGGACGAUUUCGAUAUUGGGUCAUCUGGGUUCAAAAACUAGGUCAUAAUGUCAAAUCAAAGGAAAAGCUUGUUAACACUCUAGAGGUCACAAUUGUGGCACAAUCUAAAUGAAACUUGGUCAGAAUGUUACCCUCAAUAAAAUCUUGGACAAGUUGAUAUUGGGUCAUCUGGGGUUAAAAACUAGGUCACCAGGUCAAAUCAAAGGAAAAGCUUGUUAGCACUGUAGAGGCCACAUUUAUCACUACAUCUUCCUGAAACCUGGUCAGAAUAUCAAUCUUGGUGAGCUCAAGGUCCAGUUUGAAUCUGGGUCAUGUAGGAUCAAAAACUAGGUCACUAGGUCAAAUCAAAGGAAAAGCUAGUUUACACUGUAGAGGCCACAUUUAUGACCGUAUCUAAAUGAAACUUGGUCAGAACGUUAAGCUUGAUUAUCUAUAGGUCAAGUUCAAAUCUGGGUCAGGUGGGGUCAAAAACUAGGUCACAGGGUCAAAUCAAAGGAAUAGCUAUUUAACACUUUAGAGGCCACAUUUAUGACCAUAUCUUAGUGAAACUUGGUCAGAAUGUUAAUCUUGAUGGUCAAUAGGUCAGGUGAGCGAUACAGGGCCUUCAUGGCCCUAUUGUUUCAAAGUUCAUAUCUGUCAGUUAAAUAGUUGGUUAAUGAGUUUCGCAUCCCUUUAUUGGAUGUACGCUUUUGGUAGAGUCUUUAUCAUGAUAUGAACUUGCGCACCUCCUAUUUUUCGUCUGGCUCCGCCCCCUAUUUUCUGAGUUAUGGCCCCUGAAAUAGUCAAAAAUGCACAUUUUGUCCUUAUGACGCGCCUAGCUCUAAAAGUAUUUGAUAUAAAUUGAUGAAACCUUGCAUGAGUCUCUAUCAUGAUAUGAACUUGCGCACCUCCUAUUUUCUGUCUGGCUCCGCCCCCUAUUUUCAGAGUUAUGGCCCCUGAAAUAGUAAAAGAUGCACAUUUUCACCUUGUGACCCGCCUAGCUCAAAAAGUAUUUGAUAUAGAUUCAUGAAACCUUGCAUGAGUCUUAAUCAUGAUAUUAACUUGUGCACCUCCUUUUUUUAGGUGAGCUUUUGUGAUCGCCCUGUGUCCGUCGUCCGUCGUCGUCAACAAUUUGACUCUUAACACUCUAGAGGCCACAAUUUUAGGCUAAUCUUAAUGAAACUUGGUCAGAAUGUUACCCUUAAUAAAAUCUUGCACAGUUCGAUAUUGGUUCAUCUGGGGUCAAAAACUAGGUCACCAGGUCAAAUCAAAGGAAAAGCAUGUUAACACUGUAGAGGCCAUAUUUAUGACUGUAUCUUCAUGAAACUUGGUCAGAAUGUUAAUCAUGAUGAUCUCAAAGUCCAGUUUGGAUCUGGGCCAUGUAGGGUCAAAAACUAGGUCAUCAGGUCAAAUCAAUGGAAAAGCUAGUUAACACUCUAGAGGCCACAUUUAUGACCAUGUCUUAAUGAAACUUGGUCAGAAUGUUAAUCUUGAUGAUCUAUAGGUCAGGUUCAAAUCUGGGCCAGGUGGAAUCAAAAACAGGUCACCAGGUCAAAUCAAAGGAAAAGCUUGUUAACACUCUAGAGGCCACAUUUUAGACUGUAUCUUCAAGAAACUUAGUCAGAAUGUUAAUCUUGAUGAUCUUUAGGUCAAGUUCAAAUAUGAGUCAUGUGGGUUUAAAAACUAGGUCACCGGGUCAAAUCAAAGUUAGUUAACAGUUUAGAGGCCACAUUUAUGACCAUAUCUUAAUGAAACUAUCUUGAUGAUCUUUAGGUCAAUAGGUCAGGUGAGCGAUACAGGGCCUCCAUGGCCCUCUUGUUUAUUUUGGUCCGCCCUCUAUUUUCAGAGUUAUGGCCCCUGAAAUAGUCAAAAAUGCACAUUUUCACCUUGUGAUGCACCUAGCUCAAAAUGUAUUUAAUAUAAAUGGUUGAAAACUCGCAUAAGUCUUUAUCAUGAUAUAAACUUGCACACCUCUUAUUUUUUGGCUGGCUCCAGCCCCCUAUUUUUAAAGUUAUGGCCCCUGAAAUAGUAUAAAAAUGCACAUUUUCACCUAAUUAUGUGCCUAGUUCAAAAAGUAUUUGAUGUAAAUUCAUGAAACCUUGCUUGAGUCUUUAUCAUGAUGUGUCCUUGCACACUUGGCAUUCUUCCUGAGAAUCUUCGCAUUUAUUACAGAGUUAUGGCCCUUGAAAUAACCAAAA